AUUCCCCUCCGCAGUCAGAUACUCGUCUCUCCCGUCAUUCUCCGUCUCAUUCCUCCUCUCCUCUUCCUCUCCUCCCCUCCCUCAGAUCUGCAAGCAGGAGGUGGCCCUGCGCCCGGCGACGAUGCGGCGGGCUCUCAGCCUAGGCAUGGGCCAGGUCCCCAUCCUUCUGUUCGAGCUAUCCCCCCUCCGACGGUGGUGGCGUUUGGGUUGCGCAUCCGCUGCGGCGCUAGGUUCAGCAUCCGCAGCCGUCCAUGCCGCAUGUCCACCUCGUCGACCCACUCCGCGUCCGUGCCGUCUCCCGCGCGCGGCAUGCAGCACCACCUCCGCGACGCCCUCGCCCCACCCGCGCCUCCGCCCCUUCGUCCUCGGCCUCAUCGACGAGAACCACCCACCGCACACGCUAGGCUCGCGCAAGCACGGCGCGGCUCCAGACUUUUCGACGCAAAGCACCGCCCGAGCCAGGGCCCGGAGUCGCAGUCGCUCCCCGGGCGACCGCCGUGCUGAUGCUCUCUCCACCGUUCCAGACUGGAUCUGCGCCAUGGACGUGAGGAACAUCCUUGCUACACGAGCAGUUGUUCUGGUCAGCUGAGUGCUAAAGGGUACCAGCAAACUGAUCUCCUUUGUUCUUGCCACUUCAAGCCAGCUAGGGAGCUAAGAUUCAUCAUAUUUUCUCUUCUGAGAACAGCAUUAGCUUAUGUUGUUGGCUGCCCUCAAGAAAUUUGCUAUUUUGUUCCUAAGGUAAAUGGUGUUAGACCAGAUGUUUGACAAAAUGUUUGAACCACAGAGGAGAGGCAACGACUAUCAUCUUGCUUUGUUUACAUGAGCUUUUUUAUUUUUCAAGGUAACAUUCCUAUCCAAACUGUCCUAUAGUUGCUCUACUACCUCUUGCUGGUAUAUGGCUAUAGAUUAAACUGGUUGAUAAAUAUAUCAUCUUCAAUUUGCUAAUGGCUAAUCUCCAGUUUUCUUCGUUGUGCAUUUCUGGGUGGCCAUGACUUCCUUUUUUUAGACCUGUGCCCAUAACUUAAUAGUUUGACCUAUUAUGCCAUUCAUUUUUGUGCAGAUUUCAGCUUUUGAUUAGAGAGGUAUGAGAAAAUUUGAAGUUGAGAUAUGGAAGGCUGAACCUAUUAUACCAUUCACCUUAAGUGUCUAGUUGUAUCUAGGAUUCACCAUUAGAUACUUUGAUUUCUGUUAUUUCCUUUUCACCUUAAGUUCUAUGGUAGCUCGGUCGAGGAAGGCCACAUCUACGGUAGCUUGGUCGAGGGUGGCGGGAUCCAUGGGUCGUCUCCUGCUCCGAUUCGACUGACUAGGGUUAUUGUUGUGAACCAUCUAUCUUAUGUAUUUUGAUCAUGAGAAGUCUUACGUAAGAUCAAUUUUUAGACCGUUUUAUUGUUUCUUUAACAUCAUUGUGCAAAGUCUUUUAAUGGUUGAAAUGUACCAUUUGUGAAAUAUGGGAUUUGGAAA